AUUGAACGCUGGCGGCAGGCCUAACACAUGCAAGUCGAACGAGUGGCGGACGGGUGAGUAAUGUCUGGGAAACUGCCUGAUGGAGGGGGAUAACUACUUGAAACGGUAGCUAAUACCGCAUACCCUCAGAUGUGCCCAUAUGGGAUUAGCUAGUUGGUGGGGUAACGGCUCACCAAGGCGACGAUCCCUAGCUGGUCUGAGAGGAUGACCGGCCAGACUGGAACUGAGACACGGUCCAGACUCCUACGGGAGGCAGCAGUGGGGAAUAUUGCACAAUGGGCGCAAGCCUGAUGCAGCCAUGACGCGUGUAUGAAGAAGGCCUUCGGGUUGUAAAGUACUUUCAGCGGGGAGGCGUUACCCGCAGAAGAAGCACCGGCUAACUCCGUGCCAGCAGCCGCGGUAAUUC
rnacentral:rRNA from 1 species